rnacentral:rRNA from 1 species
GACGAACGCUGGCGGCGUGCUUAACACAUGCAAGUCGAACGGAAAGGCCAUGCUCUUGUUGGGUUCUCGAGUGGCGAACGGGUGAGUAAAACGCGAGUAACCUGCACUUGACUUUGGGAUAACAUCACGAAACUGGGGAUAAUAUCGGAUAGGAUCUACUGAUGCAUGGGGGGGGUUGGAAAGUGUCGGCGGUGGGGGAUGGACUCGCGGCUUAUCAGCUUGUUGGUGGGGUAGUGGCGUACCAAGGCUUUGACGGGUAGCCGGCCUGAGAGGGUGACCGGCCACAUUGGGACUGAGAUACGGCCCAGACUCCUACGGGAGGCAGCAGUGGGGAGUAUUGCACAAUGGGCGGACGCCUGAUGCAGCAACGCCGCGUGCGGGAUGACGGCCUUCGGGUUGUAAACCGCUUUCGCCUGUGACGAAGCGUGAGUGACGGUAAUGGGUAAAGAAGCACCGGCUAACUACGUG